AGGGCAUUGCCCUCAGUAACGGCGAGUGAGCGGCAAAAGCUCAAAUUUGAAAUCUGGCACCUUCGGUGUCCGAGUUGUAAUUUGAAGAAGGUAACUUUGGAGUUGGCUCUUGUCUAUGUUCCUUGGAACAGGACGUCACAGAGGGUGAGAAUCCCGUGCGAUGAGAUGCCCAAUUCUAUGUAAAGUGCUUUCGAAGAGUCGAGUUGUUUGGGAAUGCAGCUCUAAGUGGGUGGUAAAUUCCAUCUAAAGCUAAAUAUUGGCGAGAGACCGAUAGCGAACAAGUACAGUGAUGGAAAGAUGAAAAGAACUUUGAAAAGAGAGUGAAAAAGUACGUGAAAUUGUUGAAAGGGAAGGGCUUGAGAUCAGACUUGGUAUUUUGCAAGCCUUACCUUCGUGGUGGGGUCCCCUGCAGUUUACUGGGCCAGCAUCGGUUUGGAUGGUGGGAUAAUGACUUGGGAAUGUGGCUUUGCUUCGGUAAAGUGUUAUAGCCCUUGUUGAUACCGCCUGUCUAGACCGAGGACUGCGUCUUUGACUAGGAUGUUGGCAUAAUGAUCUUAAGUCGCCCGUCUUGAAACCACGGACCCA
rnacentral:rRNA from 1 species